rnacentral:tRNA from 1 species
AUUUAUAUAGUAUAAAAAGUAUUCAUGACUUCCAAUCAUAAGGUUUAAAAAAUUUUAAUAUAAAUA